CAGUAGCCGCGGUAAUACGAAGGGGGCUAGCGUUGCUCGGAAUGACUGGGCGUAAAGGGCGCGUAGGCGGCGAUCAAAGUCAGGCGUGAAAUUCCUGGGCUCAACCUGGGGGCUGCGCUUGAUACUUGGUUGCUUGAGUGGGGAAGAGGGUCGUGGAAUUCCCAGUGUAGAGGUGAAAUUCGUAGAUAUUGGGAAGAACACCGGUGGCGAAGGCGGCGACCUGGUCCUUGACUGACGCUCAGGUACGAAAGCGUGGGGAGCAAACAGGAUUAGAUACCCCCGUAGUCCCUGUCUCUUAUAU
rnacentral:rRNA from 1 species